rfam:Butyrivibrio proteoclasticus strain P18 genome assembly, contig: Ga0066879_109
UGAGUAGGAUAAAUGAUCGCUGCCAUGCAAACGAAAGGGCAUGGGAGAGGAAAGUCCGGGCUUCACAGGGCAGGAUGCCAGAUAACGUCUGGUGGAGGUGACUCCCAGGAUAGUGCAACAGAGAUAUACCGCGUUAGCAAUGAGGCGGGUGACUAUGGCAAGAUGGAGCAGAUUCAUGCUUGCAUGAUAUCUGCAACAUAUUGACAUAGUUAUGCGGCGAAUGCCGCGUAACGAGGAAAGCUUGCUUUCCGAGUGACCGCCUCACACAAUUGCUGGCGUAAGGGUGGAAAGGCAGUGUAAGAGACUACCGUGCUGGUGGUAACAUCAGUAGCCAUGUAAACCCCAUCCGAAGCAAGACCGAAAAGAAAGCAAAGAGUCGGCCCGGCUCGCUUUCAGGUGGGUCGCUUGAGGCUGUCGGCGACGGCAGUCCUAGAUAGAUGAUCAUUCACGACAUAACCCGGCUUACAGUCCUACUCAUAAA